AUUAAACGCUGGCGGCAUGCCUUACACAUGCAAGUCGAACGGCAGCACGGGGGCAACCCUGGUGGCGAGUGGCGGACGGGUGAGUAAAGCAUCGGAACGUAUCCUGGAGUGGGGGAUAACGUAGCGAAAGUUACGCUAAUACCGCAUAUUCUGUGAGCAGGAAAGCAGGGGAUCGCAAGACCUUGCGCUCUGGGAGCGGCCGAUGUCGGAUUAGCUAGUUGGUGGGGUAAAGGCCUACCAAGGCGACGAUCCGUAGCGGGUCUGAGAGGAUGAUCCGCCACACUGGGACUGAGACACGGCCCAGACUCCUACGGGAGGCAGCAGUGGGGAAUUUUGGACAAUGGGCGGAAGCCUGAUCCAGCCAUGCCGCGUGAGUGAAGA
rnacentral:rRNA from 1 species